rnacentral:rRNA from 1 species
UAGGGAAUCUUCGGCAAUGGACGAAAGUCUGACCGAGCAACGCCGCGUGAGUGAAGAAGGUUUUCGGAUCGUAAAACUCUGUUGUUAGAGAAGAACAAGGACGUUAGUAACUGAACGUCCCCUGACGGUAUCUCACCAGAAAGCCACGGCUAACUACGUGCCAGCAGCCGCGGUAAUACGUAGGUGGCAAGCGUUGUCCGGAUUUAUUGGGCGUAAAGCGAGCGCAGGCGGGUUCUUAAGUCUGAUGUGAAAGCCCCCGGCUCAACCGGGGAGGGUCAUUGGAAACUGGGAGACUUGAGUGCAGAAGAGGAGAGUGGAAUUCCAUGUGUAGCGGUGAAAUGCGUAGAUAUAUGGAGGAACACCAGUGGCGAAGGCGGCUCUCUGGUCUGUAACUGACGCUGAGGCUCGAAAGCGUGGGGAGCAAACAGG